AGAGUUAAAACGGAAAUUUGAGCAGUUGAAACAGGAAAGAAUUAGUCGAUAUCAGGGGGUGAAUCUCUACAUUAAGAACUUGGAUGACACUAUUGAUGAUGAGAAAUUAAGGAAAGAAUUUUCUCCUUUUGGAUCAAUUACCAGUGCUAAGGUAAUGCUGGAGGAUGGAAGAAGCAAAGGGUUUGGCUUCGUCUGCUUCUCAUCUCCUGAAGAAGCAACCAAAGCAGUCACUGAGAUGAAUGGACGCAUUGUGGGCUCCAAGCCACUAUAUGUUGCCCUGGCCCAGAGGAAGGAAGAGAGAAAGGCUCACCUGACCAACCAGUAUAUGCAACGAGUGGCUGGAAUGAGAGCACUUCCUGCCAAUGCCAUCUUAAAUCAGUUCCAGCCUGCAGCGGGUGGCUACUUUGUGCCAGCAGUCCCACAGGCUUCCAAGGAAUGCCAAGUGCUAUACGCCAGUCUGGGCCUCGUCCAACUCUUCGUCAUCUGGCUCCAACUGGUAAUGCUCCGGCCUCUCGUGGCCUCCCUACUACCACUCAGAGAGUCGGUGAGCAAACUGGCCUUUAGAAGUGUGGCCUGGGGAGG
rnacentral:sRNA from 1 species